CCCGGCAAGCCUCUCAUAGAAGCUCAAACCGCCGGGA
rnacentral:sRNA from 12 species